GUUCUCCUUCGCUGGAUUAUCAGAAAAAGAAGAAGAAGAAAUAACCGAAAACCCAAAUCCGAUUUGGAAUCUGCCAAGGGUUUGAGGAAUGAACGAAAAUGCAGAAUGAGUUUCUCAUGGAUUUGAACGGUGAUCUGAUUUUCGGGAAGGUAAUGGAGAAAUGAAGUUAUAAAUGAAGCAGAUGUAUUCGAUCUGAGAUUUGAGAAUCAAGGAAUUGUUGGUAGUGCUGUUUCUGUUAUGAAUUUGGGGUCCGGAACGAAGGAUUUAAGAUGGGGAAGGCGAACAAAUAAGGAACAAGAAGACUACCAACAGAGUCUUCCCAAUCAACAGCUCCCAAUGCAUAUAAAGUGUUUGUUUAUAUGCCUGAAUGACCAGAUUACAUGCAGCUAUUGUUUUUCACUGUACCAGCAGAUUUUUCCCAUUAAAACUCUAUUUGAAAAGACAAAAUACUUUGAGGUCUUAAUCUGUCUGAUGUGUGAAGUGUUCAGUGUACUUAUCUUGCAGGUGCUGGGUUGUUCAUGAGUUUUUCAGCUAAUUUUCAAUGGCAGGAACGUCCUUGGAGUCGGUAUCAACAAAAAAUAACAGUUCAAUACCAAAACCUAUGUUUUUUGGUGGUUAUGCAGGGUGCAACUGAUGGAUUUGGCUGGUGCAGCUGAUGGUUUUCUCAAAGCUAGCUUUCAUGUAGAAGUGACUCAAUUAUUCAUGACCAGAGAGGGAACUGGUGCUACACAUCUAAAGGAGAAAACUCGGAGAGCAUCUAGCAUCAAAAGACGAAUACAGAGCUCUAGAAGUGUUGGGGGAGCAGGUGGGCACAAGUACUGCAGCCAAUAAGUUCAUGUAGAAUUGAAAGUAGCAGUGAAAGACGCCAUUGGGAGUAGGACAGUCUAAUUGGAGUAUCGUGAAAAAGGUAAGUGAUAAUUUUAUCUCAACUAUUUCCAUUGUUUGAUGAUAUUAUUCAAAUAAAUACAGGGAACCCUACAUGGCCUGAAACAUACAUUGGUUUGGAUAUGCAACUUUUAGCAUAUAGUACAGUAUUAUCAUGUAUUAAUAUCUGAGAGUUGAGGAUGUAUCAGUCGUACUGUAUUUUUUAACCAUAUGAAGAAACUCAAACGCAAAAUUAAAAUCUAAUAACUGAAGACGAUUCAGAUCUCUUAUGAUAUGGUAGUUAUGCUCUAUGAAGAGAAGACACCUUGGUAGGAUUGAUGAGGUCAAUUUCUGGAAGGAGCAUGGAAUAGUUUUUUCACAAUAACCAAGUUUCUUGAAACAAUUUGGCGGAUUCAAAUUCUGAUAUGUAUAAAGGCUCUGACAUCUAUAAAGGCUC